rnacentral:misc_RNA from 1 species
AAAGUCGUAACAAGGUUUCCGUAGGUGAACCUGCGGAAGGAUCAUUAACACGUAUCCAUACGUAUUAUAUACCAAACCGUGAACUUGUUUGUAAAUAAAUGAAAAGAAAGGAGCGAGACAGUGUCUUUGGACUCUUGAAUUGCGACUUUUUUUUGUACCUUAUUUCAACCUUAUAAACCACUUGUAAACCAUUUGUACUAAACAUCUAAGAAAGUGUGGACUUCAAACCUCUCACUUUUUUGUAUUUACGAAACGUAAAAACAAUUCUUAGCAACGGAUAUCUUGGUUCUC